AUUGAACGCUGGCGGCGUGCCUAACACAUGCAAGUCGAACGCGUGUAGCAAUACACGAGUGGCGCACGGGUGAGUAACACGUGGAUAUCUGCCUUUUGGUUCGGAAUAACCCUGGGAAACUAGGGCUAAUACCGAAUGGUUCCUACGGGAUAAAGAUUUAUCGCCAAAAGAUGAGUCCGCGUCCGAUUAGCUAGUUGGUGAGGUAAUGGCUCACCAAGGCGACGAUCGGUAGCUGGUCUGAGAGGACGAUCAGCCACACUGGGACUGAGA
rnacentral:rRNA from 1 species